UACGGGGGGAGCAAGCGUUGUUCGGAUUUACUGGGCGUAAAGGGCGCGUAGGCGGCCACUGCAAGUCGGUUGUGAAAUCUCCGGGCUUAACCCGGAAAGGUCAAUCGAUACUGCAGGGCUAGAGUGCAGAAGGGGGCAACUGGAAUUCUCGGUGGUAGCGGUGAAAUGCGUAGAUAUCGAGAGGAACACCUGCGGCGAAGGCGGGUUGCUGGGCUGACACUGACGCUGAAGCGCGAAAGCUAGGGGAGCGAACGGG
rnacentral:rRNA from 1 species